GUUGUUAGAUCUGCUUGAUAUUAGGCUGUUUAAUUCUUUAGACGUAGACACAUGCUUGGAAUGCAAAUAUCAGUCCUGUUAUCGAUUUUUGCAGGUGGAUGCAGUUCUACGUCAAAUAGCGUUGUUCGAAAAUGUCCUUCUAGGAGACUAUCUUGUGUGGAAGAAGUGGAAAGACAAAGAGUCAAGUUUAAAAUUGCCGGAACUAACUUUCCCUGAUUUUAUUUUAGAGCCUUCAAUAUUGAUGCAACAAUUUAGGGAAUCCGUGCAGAUUGAAUAGCAUGUAGAGUUGGGGCUAGAAGAGGAACUAGAUCUCCACUGAUCAAAGAUUUUCAGUUGCAAGAUUAUUGGACUUUUGCCACAUUGGCUGUUCGAGGGUUGUGAUUGUGCUCAUAUGAAAUGCAUGUUGGAAUAUCAUUAGGCUACAUAGUAAUGCACGACAUAAUGAGCCGUUAUAGGUGCACAUUGUCUUGCCAUAGCAUAACUUAUUUAAGUUUGCAAGAUUGGAAUUGUUGGAAACUUGUGUUUGACCUAUUUUUUUCGGGAAACACUGUUUUUCUACGAACCUAGAUGCUGUUAAUUUAUAAAAAUUGCAAUCUUGAAUAGCAAUUAGGAUGCAGGUGCAGCGAGAAACUUGGGUCUUUUUGUACUAACGGACUUCUGAAGGAUGUGGUCUAGUUAACUCUGAAUGCUUGUGUUCGAUGCUAGUUGAAUCUACCCAUCUUAUUUAUUUGCUAACA